UGUUAUAUUGAUAUUGGGGCAGUCAACAGAUGACUCGAAUUCGAGGACGAAUUCCUUAUUAGUGGGGGAGAAUUGUAACGACCCGAAUUUUUGGUCAGGAAUUUUGUUAGCCGGCUAAGGUCCAAGCAAUACUAAAGAUCCAAGUGUUUGCCUAUAAAUACCCCAUCCAGCUUUGUUUUCUCAGAAACAAGAAAAAGAAGUAACAAAGUUAGAAAAGAAAGAGAGAGAGAGAGAGUUCAAGAGAAGGAAUGAGAAAUCUUGCAAUUGAGCCACCAGGAGUCAUCGCCAGAGCCACCGCACGCCAAGACCACGUCAAGCUCAUCACCACCGUUCGUUGUAGUCGCCACCAGAAUCGUCGCAAUCGGAGCUCGGACGAAGCCGUACGAACCCUCCAAAGUUUUGCCAGAAAUCGUCUCCGCCACCACCGGACCACCGCUUCGCCGCCGCCGGAAAUCGUCUCCGCCGCCGGCCACCGCCGUUCUCCGCCGCCGGCCACCGUCGUCCUCCGCCGCCGCUCCGCCGUCCUCCGCCGAUUUGGAGUCUAUUUGAGCAGCUGGAGUUCAUAGACAUCACUUCUCUUCAUUUGCUAAGGUGAGACCGAUGAGCAGGAGUGAUCAUAUCGGACUAGUGCUACUAUUUGGGCUCGUGGGCUUUAUCGUUUAUCGUUUUAUCUUUUAUCGUUAUUGGGCCUUCAGGCCUUUGGACUUCUAUCGUUUAUGUUAUUUCUUAUUUCAGCCUUCGGGAUUAUGUUGUUAUUUAUAUUUCGGAUGUUUAUUUUCGGAUUUGACUUUAUGACAUGACGUGGAGUUUAUUAUCCGUAUUAUUAUUAUUAUUUCCGCUGCGUUACUAUUUAUUUAUCG